GCAACAUCUACACCCAGGGGCACACUGAGCAUGAUACCGGAAGCGGGAUGACAAGAGAAUUAUUUCCGGUGGGACGGACAGCUCUAUAUGUGCUCUGCAUUCGUUUUGCACUGUGGUCUCCUGGAUACUUCUGCUUCUUUAACCAUCUCGCCAGCACGCUGCACUGCAGGAUGAAUGCGCACCUUCAGCCGGACCCAGGGGACGCACGCCCGCCAGACCAUGAGCUGCUACUGCACUUCUACUCUCAGAAGUCACUUUUGAAAGGGAAUAUUCCUUCAAAUUCCUAGAAACACGUAGCUUUGGUUAUUAAUGGCUCUUAAUAAAUUAUUAUUCUUAAUAAACAUAUUAUUCAUUCUUCAGUUCAC
rnacentral:lncRNA from 1 species